rnacentral:rRNA from 1 species
AAGAGACAGCAGUCGCCACGGGAAUACGAAGGGGGCUAGCGUUGCUCGGAAUGACUGGGCGUAAAGGGCGCGUAGGCGGUUUUGACAGUCAGAUGUGAAAUUCCUGGGCUUAACCUGGGGGCUGCAUUUGAGACGUCAAGACUAGAGUGUGAGAGAGGGUUGUGGAAUUCCCAGUGUAGAGGUGAAAUUCGUAGAUAUUGGGAAGAACACCGGUGGCGAAGGCGGCAACCUGGCUCAUUACUGACGCUGAGGCGCGAAAGCGUGGGGAGCAAACAGGAUUAGAUACCCGAGUAGUCCCUGUCUCUUAUAC